UCUCUGUUAGUAUAUCGGUUAGUACACGCGCCUGUCACGGUGAUCGCCACCGGUGCGCGCGAAAGCGGGGUUCGACUCCCCGACAGAGAG